AUUUUGUGAAUAUUAAUGUUAUUUUGUAGGUUAAUUUAUACAUGUAAUAAUACAACACUUAUUUGCUUUUUAUCUAUUAAUUUUCAUGCAGCAAUAAGAUGCUCUUGCUCUGAUAUGCAUGUAAUAUUGCCACUGGAUCACAUACCCUAACCCACUCAAUUUCUUAUACCUUACAUAUGUGUUUUUCUUCUCUAAUGACAGCAAUCAAC
rnacentral:lncRNA from 1 species